UCUACUUUAAUGGUGAGGCCAAGAGACCACAUGGGUCUCAUUCUCUCUCUCACUCUCCCGGCCAUCUCUCUCUUAUCUCCUCUCAUUUCCUUUUCAUUUUUCAUUUUUCUUGAGGCUUUGAUUUUCUCUUCCAUUUUCCGGCUAAUCGGUCGGGUUUCCGGUCUAGGUUCCUUGAUGAAAAACGUUCCUCUCAUCGUUCUCUAUCACAUAGUCAAAGAUUUUAUUUUUCAGAGGAUCGGUGAUUAUUUUAUGAAUUUUUGAACAUUUUGGAUCUAAGGCUUCGGAUGGGGUUUUCGGCCACUUAGAGUCGGAUGCCGGUGCUGACCCUUUGGAACAGUAGAAUCUCAUCGUCGACGGCUACGUUUUUACGGAACAGUUUUCCGUUCCGCCGCCGUUGACCGGCGUUGACUUUUGUUGACCGGCGGUUGACCGCGUUGACCGGCGUUGUCUUUUUCGGGCGGGGAUGUAUUUUGGCUACUUUUGAGGUCACGGGAAGGAAAUGGCGGACGGCGUUCCUCUAUAGGUCUUGAUGGGGCUCGGAAAAGAAGUGGCGGAAGACAAUCCCCCGCAAGCUUGAAGAAGAUUAGAAGUUGUAUUUUGUUAUCUUUUGUACCUUAGCCCAUUUUUUUGGAUUGUCUCAAACUAUUUAAAAGAGUAUUUAUUUUUGCAAAUCAUGGCCAUGUAACAUAACUAAGAUACUUGAUUUAUUUUUGUCGUAAGCUGAGACCAUGUAAAUGCGUAAGUUGAA